UCAAUCAAAAGGAAAACACAGAUUUCUAGCACUCGGAAGAAAGCGAAAAACAUAAACAAUCCUUAACAUUACUGUCCAUGUAUAUUUAGAUAACUUUUAAAAAAUAUCUAUAAAGCUUUACACUACAGUCAGAUUCCGGUAAUAUUUACAAGACUGUGACGUCACACUCGCGUAAGCCGUCUGACGCGUCUGACGUAUGCAAGACAGCGAAUGUGAAAGUACAUAGAAACUCUACAGACUGAUGAGAAUUACUUUAGACGGGGUACGUCAACGAAUAGGCACGACAGCGAAAAUACGGAAGUCACUUCGGGGACGUGUCGCAGAAUCGCAUAACUCUACACGAGAUUAAAAGAAAGAAAAAAAGACAAUGAACACAACCAUGUAAAAACAAAUUCAAUCAAUUAAAUUAUCAGCAGAUUGAAA